CCAAAAAAAAUUUGACUAGUGUCACAUGAGAAAAAUUCCUUUACUUCUACUGUUCCUGUCUGAGAGAGUGCGCGGAAGGAGGGAGUCACGUUUGAUAUCACAGGAAACAAGCAAUUCGGUUGCUUUAGCUAUAAGACCAUCGGAAAACUAGGCUUAAGCAAUUCUAUAUCGAUUUGGAUACUGACGCUGAUCUUACAUAACCCACCAUGCGAAAACGGUGAUUUUUUAUUCUGAACGAUAUUAUUUUCGUUCAUGAAUCAUGAACUGAUUCACAUACAUACAAAUGUACGUAUUUAAAAUGAGAACACCACAUCAAUAGUGUAGACACAUACACAAUAUGCUUUAUGACUCAUUAAAAAUUGAGAACUUAUGCUCCUCAAAAGAAAGUAAUGUUAGUGAAAUCAAGAAAUGAUUAUUAUAUUGUAAAAUGUUUAAUCCAUCAGUCACUGACCAUUUUUGUUUGGAAAAAUCAAUGAACGACAAACACGUCGCACGACAUGUUGGUACAUAAAUUUAAAAGCUGAUCGGAUACAACGCCUUUUUGUAGAUGUUAUCGAAGUCAUUCGGUAGCAAGGGACAAACAAACAGGGUUGUGUCAAGUCAAAGGUGAUUUUGGUGAGCCGAAAGAUCACGCGAACCGCCUAGGAUAUCAACGGAUGGAAUUAGGUUCCCAAUCGUGGUAUUUUGGUCAAAGGAAGCUUGGACGUAAGAAAUGGCUGCGUUUAAAAAAGAAAAUGGCGAAAUGAUAGUCCAAAUAAUAAUUUAGAAAAAAAUCGACGUUUUGAUAGAAAAGUUUGCGGGGGCGGUGGCACUUGUGAAGCUACAAAUAAAAAAGAGGCAAAAGUAGCAGAAAAUUACAUAAUCGACGACGGAGUUGGAGCAUUUCAACUCGAUAAUAACUCCGGAGCUCACCGAUUUCUUUAUAAACAAAUUACGGAACGUAAUGGGGACGAGCCCAUCAAUGUCAGGAAGUUUAAAAUAUUUGGUGCACGAGAGGCUUAUUUUGGAGUAAAAUGUAUUUGGAACUUCGGGGAAGGGAACUCUUGGAAGUUUCAAAGAAAUUUAUAAUGUCCUGGAAAAAAACUUAAAAAAAAACAUAAUAAUUGAUUAAUUAAUCCAUAUUACUUCAGCGGCGGUGAAAAUAAAAAUACCGAACGAGCAAACUGAAAAGUCCAUUCGCAAGGCUCUUCAUAAUAUUAAGAAUAGUGCCUUUCUGAAGAGCUCAAGAUCAAACAAAUUCAAGGCUCUGAACACCGCAGAAAAGAAUUAAACUUUCUAUAAAUAGAGCAAAUUGAAAAAAU